AGGUCUUGACAUCCAGAGAACUUUCCAGAGAUGGAUUGGUGCCUUCGGGAGCUCUGUGACAGGUGCUGCAUGGCUGUCGUCAGCUCGUGUCGUGAGAUGUUGGGUUAAGUCCCGUAACGAGCACAACCCCUGUCCCUAGUUGCUAGCAGGUAAUGCUGAGAACUCUAGGGAGACUGACGGUGACGAACCGUAGGGAGGUGGGGACGACGUCAAGUCAUCAUGGCCCUUACGACCUGGGCUACACACGUGCUACAAUGGAACGCACAGAGGGCAGCAAACCCGCGAGGGGGAGCGAAUCCCACAAAACGUUUCGUAGUCCGGAUUGGAGUCUGCAACUCGACUCCAUGAAGU
rnacentral:rRNA from 1 species